rnacentral:tRNA from 1 species
GUCCCUGUAGCGCAAUGGAUAGCGCGUUGGACUUCUAAUCCAAAGGUCGUGGGUCCGAAUCCUACCUGGGAUG